rnacentral:rRNA from 1 species
AUUGAACGCUGGCGGCAGGCUUAACACAUGCAAGUCGAACGAGUGGCGGACGGGUGAGUAAUGCUUGGGAAUCUAGCUUAUGGAGGGGGAUAACUACGGGAAACUGUAGCUAAUACCGCGUACCAUAGGAUGAGCCCAAGUGGGAUUAGGUAGUUGGUGAGGUAAAGUGUCACCAAACCGACGAUCUCUAGCUGGUCUGAGAGGAUGACCAGCCACACUGGGACUGAGACACGGCCCAGACUCCUGCGAGAGGGAGCAGUGGGGAAGAUUACGCAAUGGGUGCACCCUAACGCAGCCAUGCCGCAUGAAUGAAGAAGGCCUUCGGGUUGUAGAGUUCUUUCAGUAGCGAGGCGUUAACGACAGAAGAAGCACCGGCUGGCUCCGUGCCAGCAGCCGCGGUAAUUC